CCGAGUUUACAACUCCCAAAACCCACUGAGAACCUUACCUUUGUUGCUUCGGCGGGACCGCCCCGGCGCCUGUGAUGCCCGGACCUAGGCGCCCGCCGGAGGCCCUAAGCUCUUGUUUUUGAAAUCGUACUUUCUGAGUGGCACAAGCAAAAUGAAUCA
rnacentral:misc_RNA from 1 species